rnacentral:lncRNA from 1 species
AUUAAUCCAAUGAAUCUAAUUCUUAUUGAUAAUCAAGUCAUUCCCAAGUUUAAGUUGUGCACUUAGGGAGGUUGAGACAAAAGGGUUAAACAUUACUGCUACAGCCCAACACUCACCAAGGUCAAUAAAGGAAGAACUACAAUGAACAAAUUACUUCUGUUUAAUACAUGUGCAAGCUGAACAAAUUCACUUUUGAAAAUUUAAUAAUUUAUUUCAUAAAGCAAUACCUAAAGAACUAAAAUAUAUACACACAUAUAUACUUUUUUAAUAUUCUGCAUUCUAUAACUCAAAAAAAGGUCACAUUUUUAAUGGUAUCUCAUUGCUAGUUCCUGAUAUAAUCUUUUAUGUAGUCAUAAAAGAAAUGUAAGCAAAA